rnacentral:rRNA from 1 species
UGCCAGACUCCUACGGGAGGCAGCAGUGGGGAAUAUUGCACAAUGGGGGGAACCCUGAUGCAGCGACGCCGCGUGAGUGAAGAAGUAUUUCGGUAUGUAAAGCUCUGUCAGCAGGGAAGAAGAAAGACGGUACCUGACCAAGAAGCCCCGGCUAACUACGUGCCAGCAGCCGCGGUAAUACGUAGGGGGCAAGCGUUAUCCGGAUUUACUGGGUGUAAAGGGAGCGUAGACGGCAGGGCAAGUCUGGAGUGAAAGGCAGGGGCCCAACCCCUGGACUGCUCUGGAAACUGUCCGGCUGGAGUGCGGGAGGGGCAGGCGGAAUUCCUGGUGUAGCGGUGAAAUGCGUAGAUAUCAGGAGGAACACCGGCGGCGAAGGCGGCCUGCUGGACCGUAACUGACGUUGAGGCUCGAAAGCGUGGGGAGCAAACAGGAUUAGAUACCCUAGUA